ACACAAGCGGUGGAUCAUGUGUUUAAUUCGAUGAUACGCGAAGAACCUUACCAGGUCUUGACAUCCCUUGCAAAGCUAUGGAGACAUAGUGGAGGUUAUCAAGGAGACAGGUGGUGCAUGGUUGUCGUCAGCUCGUGUCGUGAGAUGUUGGGUUAAGUCCCAUAACGAGCGCAACCCUUAUCGUUAGUUGCCAGCUGGUAAAGCAGGGGACUCUAGCGAAACUGCCACCGUAAGGUGAGAGGAAGGUGGGGAUGACGUCAAAUCAGCACGGCCCUUAUGUCCAGGGCUACACACGUGUUACAAUGGCCGGCACAGAGGGCAGCUACCUGGUGACAGGAUGCUAAUCUCGAAAACCGGUCUCAGUUCGGAUCGAAGUCUGCAACUCGACUUCGUGAAGCUGGAUUCGCUAGUAAUCGCGCAUCAGCCAUGGCGCGGUGAAUACGUUCCCGGGCCUU
rnacentral:rRNA from 1 species